AAACUUAAAUUAUUUAUCGUAGAGAAGAAAAAUGUUAUAUUUGAGUCAAAUAUCGAACAAGGAGAAGGAGGAGGAGCAAAGAAAAAUGGUGAACAGGAAUGUAAGAUGUUGGAGCCAAUAGAAACGGAAGAUGACAGUAGGCCUAUUGCAGUUCGCGAAGGUCUCCAGGAUAAUGUUCGUUCGGCAUGCUAUAAAGGUUACCAUGCGAAUAUGUAAACUCGAUUACCGUGAUGUCGUGGAUUCACGUAAGGCGGCGACAGGUGUGUGUUCCUUCUGAAUUUUUCAAUAAAACAAAAAGAAAAAGAAAAGAAAAUUGAAAUAAAAAUAUAUACAUGCAACUCUACGAAUUGAUUGAGGAAGAAACGAUUUUCUUGUUGUUCUCGUUGUUGUUGUUGCUGCUGAUGCUGUUAUUGUUGCUAUUGUUACUGUUGUUGGUUUUAAUAAAGUUUAGACAUUUGUGCCGCA
rnacentral:lncRNA from 1 species